rnacentral:rRNA from 1 species
AGUGAACGCUGGCGGCAGGCCUAACACAUGCAAGUCGAACGGCAGCACAGAGGAGCUUGCUCCUUGGGUGGCGAGUGGCGGACGGGUGAGGAAUGCAUCGGAAUCUGCCUUGUUGUGGGGGAUAACCUCGGGAAACCGGGACUAAUACCGCAUGAGACCCCUGACCGAGAGGUGAGGGGUGAAAGAGGGGGACCGCAAGGCCUCUCGCGACAAGAUGAGCCGAUGCCGGAUUAGCUAGUUGGUGGGGUAAAGGCCUACCAAGGCGACGAUCCGUAGCUGGUCUGAGAGGAUGAUCAGCCACACUGGAACUGAGACACGGUCCAGACUCCUACGGGAGGCAGCAGUGGGGAAUAUUGGACAAUGGGCGAAAGCCUGAUCCAGCCAUGCCGCGUGUGUGAAGAAGGCCUUCGGGUUGUAAAGCACUUUUGUUGGGGAAGAAACCGACCGGGUUAAUAACCGGGUUGACUGACGGUACCCAAAGAAUAAGCACCGGCUAACUUCGUG